rnacentral:rRNA from 1 species
AGUGAACGCUGGCGGUAGGCCUAACACAUGCAAGCCGAACGGCAGCACAGUAAGAGCUUGCUCUUACGGGUGGCGAGUGGCGGACGGGUGAGGAAUACAUCGGAAUCUACUUUUUCGUGGGGGAUAACGUAGGGAAACUUACGCUAAUACCGCAUACGACCUACGGGUGAAAGCAGGGGAUCUUCGGACCUUGCGCGAUUGAAUGAGCCGAUGUCGGAUUAGCUAGUUGGCGGGGUAAAGGCCCACCAAGGCGACGAUCCGUAGCUGGUCUGAGAGGAUGAUCAGCCACACUGGAACUGAGACACGGUCCAGACUCCUACGGGAGGCAGCAGUGGGGAAUAUUGGACAAUGGGCGAAAGCCUGAUCCAGCCAUACCGCGUGGGUGAAGAAGGCCUUCGGGUUGUAAAGCCCUUUUGUUGGGAAAGAAAAGCAGCAGGUUAAUACCCCGCUGUUCUGACGGUACCCAAAGAAUAAGCACCGGCUAACUUCGUG